rnacentral:rRNA from 1 species
CACUGUGAGCGGCCAAGCGAAAGCGUUAAGCAUCCCACCUGGGGAGUACGCCGGCAACGGUGAAACUCAAAGGAAUUGACGGGGGCCCGCAACAAGCGGAGGAACAUGUGGUUUAAUUCGAUGAUACGCGAGGAACCUUACCCGGGCUUGAACUGCCGGCGAACGAUACAGAGAAGUUGAGGCCCUUCGGGGCGCCGGCGGAGGUGCUGCAUGGUUGUCGUCAGCUCGUGCCGUGAGGUGUCGGCUUAAGUGCCAUAACGAGCGCAACCCCUCUCCGUAGUUGCCAUCGGGUGAUGCCGGGCACUCUGCGGACACUGCCACCGUAAGGUGUGAGGAAGGUGGGGAUGACGUCAAAUCAGCACGGCCCUUACGUCCGGGGCUACACACGUGUUACAAUGGGUGGUACAGAGGGCUUGCGUCCGGCAACGUCCGUCUAAUCCCGAAAGCCAUCCUCUUCCCUUGCUGGGUCUGCAACCCGACCCCACGAAAGCUGGAUCCGCAGUAAAGAGCUCA